AAAAGGUGGCUAUGCUACCGCUUUUGGAUGGGCCCGCGGCGCAUUAGCUAGUUGGUGGGGUAAAGGCUUACCAAGGCAAUGAUGCGUAGCCGAACUGAGAGGUUGAUCGGCCACAUUGGGACUGAGACACGGCCCAAACUCCUACGGGAGGCAGCAGUAGGGAAUCUUCCACAAUGGGCGAAAGCCUGAUGGAGCAACGCCGCGUGGGUGAAGAAGGUCUUCGGAUCGUAAAACCCUGUUGUUAGAGAAGAAAGUGCGUGAGAGUAACUGUUCACGUUUCGACGGUAUCUAACCAGAAAGCCACGGCUAACUACGUGCCAGCAGCCGCGGUAAUACGUAGGUGGCAAGCGUUAUCCGGAUUUAUUGGGCGUAAAGGGAACGCAGGCGGUCUUUUAAGUCUGAUGUGAAAGCCUUCGGCUUAACCGGAGUAGUGCAUUGGAAACUGGGAGACUUGAGUGCAGAAGAGGAGAGUGGAACUCCAUGUGUAGCGGUGAAAUGCGUAGAUAUAUGGAAGAACACCAGUGGCGAAAGCGGCUCUCUGGUCUGUAACUGACGCUGAGGUUCGAAAGCGUGGGUAGCAAACAGGAUUAGAUACCCUGGUAGUCCACGCCGUAAACGAUGAAUGCUAAGUGU
rnacentral:rRNA from 1 species